rnacentral:siRNA from 1 species
UUUGACCUACUUCUUCAAGGGCA